GAUGAAGAACGCAGCGAAAUGCGAUACUUGGUGUGAAUUGCAGAAUCCCGUGAACCAUCGAGUCUUUGAACGCAAGUUGCGCCCGAAGCCAUUAGGCCGAGGGCACGCCUGCCUGGGCGUCACACGUCGUUGCCCCCCCCUCUACUCCUUCGGGAUUGCGGGGGGCGGAUGAUGGCCUCUCGUGCGCCUCGUCGCGCGGUUGGCCUAAAUGCCAAGUCCUCGGCGACGCACGCCACGACAAUCGGUGGUUGCGAAACCUCGGUUGCCUGUCGUGUGCGGUCGUCGCGCAUCGAGGGCUCGAAAAAAUUGCCGGGCUUCGGCUCGACUUUCAACGCGACCCCAGGUCAGGCGGGGUUACCCGCUGAAUUUAAGCAUAUCAAUAAGCGGAGGA
rnacentral:misc_RNA from 1 species